AGUACCUUAUUGAAUUCUGAUCGUUUAAUUGGCUGUUUAUAUAGUCACGUGAUAUUGAAUAAAAAAUUCCAUUUCCCAAGAGUGCAAUAUAUGGAAUCGGUUCCAUUGCACUCUUUGCGAGUGCAAUUGUACUAUAUGUUUUAUUCCAUUGCACUCUUUGUGUUUUCGAUAAAUCGCAUCCGUCAAAAUGCUUCUCAUACGAAUCUAUUAGUCUAUUUUGGUAUUAUAUAAAACGAAUAAUGAAUGAUUAUUCAUGCAAUGGUAAGAAUAUUU